rnacentral:lncRNA from 10 species
AUGAAUAAAUGCAAGGAAGUAAAUGAAGAGGAAGCAGGGGUCAGAAGGGGCAUGUUUUACAUGAAGAGAUACCAUGCAAAGGCCCUCCUGGGUACCAUCACCAGUGCGGGGCAGCCCGUGAGCCCCUGGAGGGAGGUCUCCCUGACACCCUGCCCACUCCUCCUGGGGCCAAGCAGGAGUCAUAUCCAAGGGCUGGGUCAUUAUCUGAUACAUGAGUGGGUUGUGCGGAUGAGUAAACAGGGACUGACCCAGAGGUCAGGUGUAACUCAGCCUCAGAAACUGCAUGUGUCAAUAGGAAUCGAAGGGCCAAGGAAUGUGUUUUUCGUUGAUGUCAACUUGCUGCAAAGGACCACACCUGCUUCUCGACCCGGGAACGUGGGAAAGGGAAAGGCACGGCUUGUUUUGGUGGAGAUGGAGGAGCUGGUAACAGUGGAGGAAUGCCCUUCUUCUGAUUCACAGCGGGGAGGUGCUCUGGGCCCCUGCCACUGCCCGAGGACUUCGGGUGAGGUUACCAGGACCGUCAGCCUGAGGAGAAUCAGCUCUUCCGCACCAAAUCCUGAAGAUCACAUGGCAGAGUGAGCCAGAGCGAGGUUAAGAAAUGGAAGAUGUGACUCUCAAGGAUUAUACACAACUAAAACUGUGUGAAACGGCGAUCAGUACCCGGGCAACAGGGAAGUGGGAAUUUCUCACCAACCCACGUGCCAGGAUCCAGCCUCAACGCUUGUGAGGAUCCAGCCUCAAUGCUCUGCACAUCUCCAGUGUGGAACAGCACCAUGCGCCUAAUGAGUUCUUCUCUGACUGAUUGAUUGAUUGAUUACUAAAACACUCAGCACUCCUGGCAAAGCAGUUCUCACACUGUUGAACAAAUUAUCUUUAUGCACUGCAGUCUCUUGAGCUUAGAUGAAGGCAAACUCACUGUAAUCUUCAGAUCAUUUAGCAAUGCCUUGGAAUCACUGGAUAUGAGAAAAUAUCCAGGCAUGUGGAAUAUGAAGGGGGAAGAAAAGCAGGACUUGGAGGGACUGUGCUAGUGGAUUUCAACUCUGUAUUUUCUAAAAUGAACCAGGGGCAGGCAAACUACUACCUUGUAGGCCAAAUCUGGCCAGUGACCUGUUUUAUCAUUGAUUGAUUGAUUGACGGGGUCUUGUCUUGCUCUGUCACCCAGGCUGGAGUGCAUUGGUUCGAUCAUUGUUCACUGCAGCCUCGAACUCUUGGACUCAAACCAUCCUCCCACCUCAGCCUCCCAAGUAGCUAGGACUGCAGGUGUGCACUGUAAUGCCUGGCUAAUUUUUUUCUUUCUUUUUUUUUUUUUUUUUUGUAGAAAUGGCAUCUUGCUGUGUUACCCAGACUGGUCUUUAACUCCUGGCCCCAAGCGAUCCCUGACUUUAUGGCACUUGCUUAGCCUGGUGUGACAGUGUCUGUCUCCUGGAGGCCAGGAGCCCCUGGCAUGCAGCCAGCGUGCCCCAUUUAUAAUUGUAGCCCAGCACAUGGAAGGGACCCAAGGGAAUGACAGCAACGUUGACUUUGCCAUUUCAACCCUCAACCUCAUUUUAUUGUUCUAUUCGUAUUAUCUGGGGGACAAAAUUUUCCCACAUUCUUUUCUGUUGGUGCCACCAUCUCUGUGCCUCCGUGUGCUGCUGACCCGCCAAGCCCAUGGCCAGCUCAGCACUCGGAUUUUAUGUGGUCUCUCAGUAUGGAUUCCUUUAUCGGCAUCUCAAAAAGCUUUUGUGUUUUAUCCAUAAUUGAUUAAAGGUUUGUAGCUGUGAAUAAAAGAUUGAUUAAAAGUAACAACAGCAAAACAGCUCUUGUUUUUCUUCACCGUCUGCCUUUCCCCAGAAGAGUCUCCUACAUCCGAGCAGACGGUCCUCGAUGUGGAUCCACACAACCUUACGAGUUUUCCUUAGACCCAAG